CGGAACGUGCCCGAUCGUGGGGGAUAACGGAGCGAAAGCCUUGCUAAUACCGCAUACGAUCUACGGAUGAAAGCAGGGGACCGCAAGGCCUUGCGCGGACGGAGCGGCCGAUGGCAGAUUAGGUAGUUGGUGGGAUAAAAGCUUACCAAGCCGACGAUCUGUAGCUGGUCUGAGAGGACGACCAGCCACACUGGGACUGAGACACGGCCCAGACUCCUACGGGGGGCAGCAGUGGGGAAUUUUGGACAAUGGGCGAAAGCCUGAUCCAGCCAUGCCGCGUGCAGGAUGAAGGCCUUCGGGUUGUAAACUGCUUUUGUACGGAACGAAAAGCCUCUUUCUAAUAAAGAGAGGUCAUGACGGUACCGUAAGAAUAAGCACCGGCUAACUACGUGCCAGCAGCCGCGGUAAUACGUAGGGUGCAAGCGUUAAUCGGAAUUACUGGGCGUAAAGCGUGCGCAGGCGGUGAUGUAAGACAGAUGUGAAAUCCCCGGGCUCAACCUGGGAACUGCAUUCGUGACUGCAUCGCUGGAGUGCGGCAGAGGGGGAUGGAAUUCCGCGU
rnacentral:rRNA from 1 species